CCUACGGGUGGCAGCAGUGGGGAAUAUUGGACAAUGGGGGGAACUCUGAUCCAGCCAUGCCGCGUGUGUGAAGAAGGCCCUCGGGUUGUAAAGCACUUUCAGUGAGGAAGAACGCCUGGUGGUUAAUACCCAUCAGGAAAGACAUCACUCACAGAAGAAGCACCGGCUAACUCCGUGCCAGCAGCCGCGGUAAUACGGAGGGUGCGAGCGUUAAUCGGAAUUACUGGGCGUAAAGCGCGCGUAGGUGGCUUGAUAAGCCGGUUGUGAAAGCCCCGGGCUCAACCUGGGAACGGCAUCCGGAACUGUCAAGCUAGAGUGCAGGAGAGGAAGGUAGAAUUCCCGGUGUAGCGGUGAAAUGCGUAGAGAUCGGGAGGAAUACCAGUGGCGAAGGCGGCCUUCUGGACUGACACUGACACUGAGGUGCGAAAGCGUGGGUAGCAAACAGGAUUAGAUACCCCAGUAGUC
rnacentral:rRNA from 1 species